rnacentral:lncRNA from 1 species
ACUAAUAAUCCCGAUUGCAAUUAAAAUCUAACUAACUUUGUAAUAAGAAUAAAAUCAAACUUACAGAUAAACGCAAAUAUCCAAAUAAUGAUUUGAUCUUAUCCGGAAGCGUGCGAGACACUGCCCUAAGGCGUAUUCCCGUCCUUACGUGCGGGAUUAACCGGAAAUAACACCCCAAGGUACGACCGGAAUUCCUCAUUCUGCGAGCACGAUCGUGAAGGAGGUUGACGAAGAUUCUCAACACCCAGUGGAUAAGGGGAAUGUUCAAAAAUGAAAGAUAAAAGAAUAAAUGGAUAGAGAUUAACCAAUGAUCAAAAAUCUUUUCUGCCUGCUCUAUCUUUUCUAUCUAAAAAACAGAGGAGAAAAAGAGGAAGGGGAUUUAACGCCCUUUUUCGUUACGACAGAAAGGCGUAUCCCGCACAACGGAAUGAGAUUCCGUUGACGCAAUAAACGGACCAAGAAAUUGAACGGGAAAAAUAUCCCGUUAGUUUCUUUCUCAUUAAGAAACAUAAUAAAAUAAUUAAAUUAAAUAAAAUAAAUAAAGUAAUAAAUAAAUAAAAU